rnacentral:misc_RNA from 1 species
GUUGACUACAAGCGGUCUGACUGUCUAUUAUGUUCUCAGUCAGAUUCUCGUUAUGGAAUAGCUUUAGCUUGCACACAGAAGGAUAAAAGGGUUUAUUUGCUGGGCUACUUAAAUGCAUUGGAGUUCUUGUGUCAGCCACUUGCUGAACUAGUAAACAUGGAGAAGAAACAAAUAGUUGCUGAAAGUGAUGUUGCUUCUGUUUCUACAUUCCUGUUUAGCAUCCAAGAAGCAUUUGACCAAUUUUUUGAUGUUUUCCUAUUUUUUCACAGUACAGCAUCUGAAAGAGAGGGAGAUGAAAUUAAUGAAAACAAGACAAUACUUAGUGUUGCUGUUGCUGCUUUUACUCUCUCCAUCAGGACGAAGCUUCAAUUCCAGAGGAGUGUGCAUCUAAUGAAGCACAUCAUUGCCAGCAAAUGGAUUCAACCCCAGGGGCUGAAAUAUAUAUUUGCCUCUCUUUACAAUCUUGGUGUACAUUUAUACAGAAACAAGGAUGUAAAUGAGGCUUCAAAGGCAUUAAAAUUAUCAUGUAGAGCUUCCUGGACUUGUGUUGCGCUUCUUUGUCAAAUGUUUGUGAACAAGUCCAGUGAACAAGGCAUUGGUGAUGUUUCAGAAGAAUAUAUUCUAGAUUUUGUUAUGGAGGCAUGUAUGCGAAAUGCAUUUCUUUUGGAUGUUCUCUCUCAAUGUGGCAGUCUUAAAGUGAAAAAGAUAAUUGUAAAUAGUCUUGAAAAUUGGUCAGUUGCUGAAUGUUUAUUUACAAGGCUGCCAGGUCCUAUGCCUUUGGUGAAACAAUGGGUGAAGAUAGAAUGCAAACGUAAUAAGAACUUGGAUGUGGAUGAUAGUCCAACCUUAUAUUAUUUGUUGUCAUCCUCCGCAAAAUUGUCAAAGAGGGCAAUUGGCAAAAUUUUACAGCAGGAGCUUCUUGCAUAUGAAGAAAUGGACACCAUGUACCCUGAAUUGUGCCAGAGAAUGCAAAUUAAAAUAAUAGAUAUCCUCUUGCAAGAUUUUUACUUCACACAAGAUUGUUAUUUAGAGAGAUCAAGAAUUUUACUGAAAAAAGGGCGGUCAUUGAGGACCAUGGGGCAUGAAGGUUUG